CCUCUGGCUGCAGAGCCGACAAGAAGAAGUUAUUCUCCUGCAUGCUGGCUGGUGGGCCAGGCGCGCACGUGAAAAACAGCCCGGCUCUUUCCCCGGGUCAACCCGCCCCUUCCCCGCGCCUGCCAGGAACUCUGUGUGGGCCGAGGGGAAGUUCCUCGCGAGGGCUUGGGGCAGCCCUUCCUCUUCUCUGCGCCCAAGCGGCGCGUUGACACGCCAGGAACUACUGCUCGUCCUCCCCACCCCCAGAUUUCUUUAUGUGAUCAUCAGGCAGCAUCACAAGAUCUGACUGCUUCCAGAUGGCGACCUUUUUGGGUGUCAAACAUGCUGACUGACAUAAGAGAGGAUAAAACUGGUAUUGCUGCUUGUUACUCCUUGAAAGUAAAUGCCAAGUAAGUGCUCCAUAUUCACAAGCAGCAUAAUGUUAGAAGAACAAACAUACAAUAUCAUGGCUCUUUUGUGAAUUGGGACCCUGCAGUUUUUUCUGGUCACAGAAGGAAAAAAAGGUGAUCUCUUCUGGCAUCAUGAUUAUAUGAGCAGACCACUCAUGUGAAUGGUAAGUUUGUGGGGAGCCAGCCACUUGCAGUGCCGUCUGCACCAGAUCUCAAAAGUAACCUCACAGUGACAGAUCUCACAGUGACAUGAAAGUUACUGUGCUGGUCCGUAUUAAUCCAGAGGCUAUCGAGAAACAAGAUUGCUGUGGGUGGCCAAAUCCAAAACUGCAACUAUGGCAUGAUGGUACAUUUCUCACCAUGUUUCCAGGCUGAGCCACUCAUGAAGGACAUGGUCAUACAGACAAGCCUUGAAAGUGUUGCUUUUAUGCUUUUCUAUCGCUCCCUUGUGCUAGGGGGAGACUACCACAGGACAAGUAAACAGUUCCCUGGGGCCAGUUCUGCAGGACAGAUAGACAACACAGUAAACGAGAGCAGAAGGAGAAGGGGUGGGGGGAACUGACAACAAUGCUUUUUCUUUUAGGACUCUCUGGGUGGCAGAGCAGAAGGGGCCAAAAUUCACUGGUAGGAGCAAAGGCCCCUUCCUCUGUUGUGUGCUAGCAGCGCCCCCCCCCCAAAAAAAUUGGAGGUUGUUGUUCUAAGACUGCAGCAAUCGAAGGGCCCUCAGUUGAGUUAUGUGACUCUGCAAUGUUGGCAUGCAAGUUUUAAAAUCAAUUUAAUCUGCAUAGUUAAGUUUCUAAAGACAUUUUGAUAAUUUGGUAGCUCUACCAGAUUGAUUGAAAGGAAGCCUAUAAAUGUAAGUAAUAAAUGAUAAGUACGAGGAAAUCUCAGUUUUGGUUCAUUAUUCUGAAGGAAGUAUAUAUGGCAGGAUCACUCAUCUAACAACUAAGGGGAAAGGGCUUCACUUUUCCCAGUGUACGUCAGGGACAGGGAGACCUUGCAGGUCUCCAGUGCAAACCUUGGGGUGAAUGGCUUCCCCUUUACUAAGCAGAGGUUAAAAUCAAGGGUGAAUGCAGCAUCCUGGCCUUCUGAACACUGCAACAAGGAACUGGGAAUUGGUGACACAUCUUGAAAUGAAAAAAAAUCUUCAAGUAGACCAACAGCCUCGGGGCAUUUCUGCAAAGUCACAGCAGAGGCUCCAAUCACAUUUCAGAUUUGGCAUGAAAGCCCCAGGCCCUUUUCAAAGUCAAAUUGAACAACAUUCAAUAGAUGGAGGGGUGGUACAGGUUUGCGUUGAGAGGUGGGAGAGAGGCUGUGCUGCAGUUUGCCCCUUCUCAAUUAAAAAUGUAGGUAGGUGUGUGUGCAGCAGCAGAAAACACACCCUCCAAAGAAUUUCAUUAAAAAAGGGUAGAACAUUGCUGUUGGGAAAAGAAAGGGUUAAUUUUGUUGUCCUUCAAAAAAGAGAGAGGAAAGAACAAAAGUGGGGGGAGAGGCUAGAAUGCUGGAGAAUACCACCUUCUCCCUUGACAUAAACAUAAUAGUAUUUUAGGGCAUUAAAUUUGUCUGCGUGGUGCUGAUUACGCCCACCCUGCUCAGGGAUGGCAACAGGGAUCUUGAAUCAUGCUACAUAUGUUGAGGCCUGCACAUAUGACAUCAUUGACUUGUGACAGACGCCUAUGCAAAGUGCAGUAGACCUCAAGAUCCUCAUCUCUACACCAAAUGUUGCCAGCUAUCUACCCAGAGUCAAUAAGCCUGCCUUGUCCUGCACCAGGUCUUUACCCAGCACUGGAGGAUUUUGGGGCUCUGGGCCAUCCCAGAAAUCUCACCUGUCCAACAGCUCCCAGUCCUCUCCACCCCAGCGGUCCCGGAACUCUUCUGUGUUCAUCCCACCAAUACGGUCAAAGUCAGAUUUGUAGAUCCCAAAGAGGCCAAAGCCAUUCACCUCCCAGUAGCCUGAGAAAAAUGAACCGAGAAUGUUGCCAGGAUCUUGAUAUGGAAGCAAGGCUAUACUUGAGAGCCUAGACAGUUCUGGUCUCCCAUUCAUUUUGCUACCCAAAGAAGCCACUCUGUCCUCUGCUGGCAGCAAAUAUUAUCUCAUGUGGAUUCAAAACAGGUACAGUAUAGAGAUAACUUUAAUUAGAUGAACUUCUGCAAAACCAGGACUUGUUUCUAUUAUUCUUUAUUCAUUGUUUAUAGAAAUUAUAUUGUGUCCCUCCCUUCAGUAGUGAUUUAAGGGCAAGGUACAACAAUUUAAAAUACAAGCACCAAUUAAAACAAAAAAGGAAAAUACAGUGGGGGGGAAAAGCAUUGAUCUAUCUAUUGUUACAAACAACAGGGCCAUGUUGCCCCCAUGCACCACAUGUUCAGUGGGGAGAUGAUUCCACCACUGGGGUGUGAAUUGCCAAGAAGGCCCUCUGGCAAGUCCCAGAUUGCCUGAUCGCAGUCAACGAGGGGACUGCAGAAGAACCUUCCACAGCCAAACCCAAGUGUUCCUUCAGAUCUCCAGGUCCUGAACCAUUUAGGACUUACAUCUAAAACUUUAAACAGGGCCCAGUGACAUACAGUCAGCCAGUGCAGAUCUUUGAGAACCAGUGUUAUAUGGCCUUGUGCAGACAUGUCCAUUAAUACUCUGACUAUUGUUAUUUUGCCCCAAAUGCAGUUUCCAGACCAUCCGCAAGUGCAGUUUUACAUAGAGCUGCUUGCAGGACUUUACUAGUACAGUACCAGGAUUGCUGCAGCUGGGUUAUUCCUGUCCAGGGUUCUUCUGCCCCAGAUUUUCAACACAGUGGCCAAAAAUAUGAAACAGAUUUCAAGUGACAAGUACUUGGCAAAUAAGGGAACGCCUACUACACAAAGUCCAGAUAGCCUGAAGAUGUCAGAUAAAACAUAUGGACCCAUUGACACAAUAAUAAUUUAAUAACACCAGGUAUUGAAAACCAUAACUUUGUUGUAUGCUCUCUCUCUCUCUCUCUCUCUCUCUCUCACACACACACACACACACACACACACACACACACACACCCCUGCUGUUUUCUACUGCUGAAACAUCCACACACAUGCUGAAUCUCUCUCCACAGUCUCUUUUGGCAAUGUUACUAUUCAGGGCUUUUCUUGUCAAAACCAUUUAGAGAAGAGCAGCCAAGUCAGGUUUCCCAGCAGGAGAGUCAGAGCCCAAGACUCCUGGAUUAUUUUCUGAAUUUGUGGUACACCCCUCAGGCAAAUGGUCUGGCCUUUCUCCGCUGGGUUGCAAAGGGGAUACAAAACUUCCCUGAUGGAGCCACAAGAAGUUUGAGUUGAAGCCUACAGAGCAGCUGAAUUGCUGCAUGUUAUUUCUGCUCUUGCUUAAGAGCAACGAGAGUGAAGUUUUAAGGACGGUUUCAGAUAAGAGGUUUUUAUUUAUUACUAUUUAUUUAUGAAACGUACAUCCCGCUCUCACACAGGGUGGUGCACAGCAAUAUAAAAACAUGUUUUAAAAUAAUUUUUUAAAAAACACCGAAAGCGGUACAGAACAAUCAUUAAAACAACUGGCUACACAAGAAAGUUUUAAGCAGCUGCAUAGGCCUGUUGGCAUAACAGUUCUUCGGGAGACUUCCAAGAAAAUUAAAAGUGAGGGUGGCUUGCCAAAUCUGUGCUGGAAGAGGGCUCCACAGCAUUGGACGGGCGACACUAAAUGCCCAACGUCUAGUUGAGGCCAAUUGGGGGACAAUUAACAGCACUCAUGCAGGUGAUCUCAGUGAUCACUGUUGUGUCUGUAGGCAUCCUGUAAGAGGGCUAGAUGGGAACAAGGGCACAAUUAUUGUGCCAGCAGCUUGGCUAUUUAACUAACUUUUGCUGCCCAACACUAAGCUGGCUGUGUGAGGAAUGUAGCCAUGCUGCCUCAUUCUCAUGCAAGCAGCCUCAUUCAGACAGUCAUUCAGUCCAGCCUCCUCCACUUCCUCAGCAGCCAGACGUGUUUCACUUACCAUUGGG